UGGGGAAUUUUGCGCAAUGGGGGAAACCCUGACGCAGCAACGCCGCGUGAGUGAUGAAGGCCUUCGGGUCGUAAAGCUCUGUCAGAGGGGAAGAAGUGCAGGGGUGCUAAUAUCACCUUUGCUUGACGGUACCCUCACAGGAAGCACCGGCUAACUCCGUGCCAGCAGCCGCGGUCAUACGGAGGGUGCGAGCGUUGUUCGGAAUUAUUGGGCGUAAAGCGCGUGUAGGCGGUUUGGUAAGUCUGAUGUGAAAGCCCCGGGCUCAACCUGGGAAGGG
rnacentral:rRNA from 1 species